rnacentral:lncRNA from 1 species
CCGGCUCCCGCUCGCUUGGCCGUCAUGAGGCACUCAGCGACAUCGGCCGGCGUGAGCUUCACCUCCCGCAGUAUCUCCUCGACGGAGCCGAACAGCUCGUGGUCGUCGAUGUCCAGGUAGUUCUUGGCGAGGGUCUGGAACGCCUCGAAGCCGCAGUAGGACAUCUCGAUGUGCAUGUCCAUCCUGCCGCGCCGGAUCAGCGCCGGGUCGAGCUUGUCGACGUGGUUGGUGGUGAACACGACGAUUCGCUCGCCGCCGGACGCCGACCACAGCCCGUCGAUGAAGUUGAGCAGGCCGGACAGGGUCACCGUGUUGCGGGGCCUGUCGUCGGCGUAGUACCUGUCGUCAUCCUUGGGCGGCCCGCCGGGGCGUCGCCGCUGCCUGGCGCGGUCGCCGGUGAGGUCGAGGGAGCAGUCGAUGUCCUCGAUGACGAUGAUGGACUUGCUGGUGGUCUCAAUGAGGAGCCUGCGGAGGUCGGUGUUGGUGUUCACGACGGUGAGCUCGACGUCGUAGAUGUCGUAGUCGAGGUAGUUGGCCAUAGCGGCGACCAUGGUGGACUUGCCGGUGCCCGGCGGGCCGUAGAGUAGGUACCCGCGCUUCCACGGCUUGCCGGUUCGCCGGUAGAAGUCCCUGUUGUUCCGGAACGCGUCGAGGUCGUCCAUGAUGUCCUUCUUCUUGGCCCGGUCCAUGGCCAGCGUGUUGAACGUCGUCGGGUGAUCGAAGUCGAUGUAGCUCCAUGACUUGGAUUCGUAGCUGCUGCUCGACUCGAUCGAUCAACGUAAAAAUCAACGAUCAAAUCAACAAAUCUAUAUAUCUGGUUGCGAUAAUUCGUUUGUGAGGCCCGAAAAUAUAUAUGCUUACUAAACAUCGCGUGACUUGCUGUUGGUGUAGAGCCUGCGGCGGCGGUUGCUGAAGAGGAUCUCGCGUCCCCGGCGGCGGACGUGUGGCAGGUACUCGUCGACGACGAGCCGGCGGUGGCGGAGGUGGAACGUGAGGCGCUGGAAGCGUCGCUUCCCCUGGCGCUGCCCCUGCACGUCCUU